GCCUCCAUAGUUAAACGGAUAUAACAGUGGUUUCCUAAACCAUCGUUGGCGGUUCGAUUCCGUCUGGGGGUACCA
rnacentral:tRNA from 1 species